AUCCUUUUCUAGUUCACAAUAACAACAAUUGGGCUUUCAUGCUACAGUAUUAGAUGUGCCUCCCUCAAACCUUAUUAUAAUGUUGGUAUAUUACCCAUGUGAUA